GACGAACGCUGGCGGCGUGCCUAAUACAUGCAAGUCGAACGCAGUGGGGACGGGUGAGUAACACGUGGGUAACCUCCCAUCAGAGGGGAUAACACUUGGAAACAGGUGCUAAACCGAUAGUGGUGGAUGGACCCGCGGUGCAGUUGCUAGUUGGUGAGGUAACGGCGCACGAAGGCCACGAUGCAUAGGCGGCCUGAGCGGGCGACUGGUCAGACGGGGAAUACGGCACGGCACAGACGCCUAUGAGAGGCAGGGGGGGGGAAUCUGGGGCAAUGUACGAAAGGCUGAACGAGCAGAGCCGCGGGGGUGAAGGGGGUUUUCGGGUCGGAAUGCUCUGAUCUUUGAGAAGGGGUAUCUAGCCAGAAAGCCCCGGCUAACUACGUGCCAGCAGCCGCGGUAAUAC
rnacentral:rRNA from 1 species